rnacentral:rRNA from 1 species
AUACGGAAGGUCCGGGCGUUAUCCGGAUUUAUUGGGUUUAAAGGGAGCGCAGGCGGAGAUGCAAGCGUGACGUCAAAUUUCGGGGCUCAACCCCGUCUCGCGUCGCGAACUGCGUCCCUUGGUUGCGGGAAGGGGAGGCGGAACUCGUGGUGUAGCGGGGAAAUGCAUAGAUAUCACGAAGAACUCCGAUCGCGAAGGCAGCCUUCCGGCCCGUCAACGACGCUCAUGCUCGAAGGUGCGGGUAUCAAACAGGAUUAGAUACCCUGGUAGUCCGCACAGUAAACGAUGGACACCCGCGGUUUGGCCUAUAUGGCUGAGCCGCCAAGCGAAAGCGUUAAGUGUCCCACCUGGGGAGUACGCCGGCAACGGUGAAACUCAAAGGAAUCGACGGGG